AAGUGAUCGUUAUAUCAAUAAAAAAUUUGACGACCAUCACCAGUCAAAGAAAUUACUAUUCUGGUGUUCGAUUCGAUUUGUUGGGAGUCGUAAAGGCCUUCAACAGGUUGUUUCUCCUCAAGAUUUACAUCACAAUGUCCUAACAAAAUGCCUUUUUUUUUUGUUGUUUCACAAACGUCAACUUCAAACUUCUUCAGUCAUCAAUCUGAAGUGAUAAAAUUCCUGUUUAAUUUAUAUUGUACCAUGGGUGUCUACACACGUGUGAAAAGAAUCUGUCUUAUCAACGCCCACGGCCCCCAAACAAUCCUGUUCAUAUUUUUCAUCCUGCUGUUUUUGGCCUAUUACACUUUGGUACACAUUUUGCUUGAAAAAGUUGAGCCCUCAAGCGUGGACAUUAGAAGAGACAACAAUGAUGAUAUUGAUUAACCCCCCAAUAAAACCCCAUAACUCAUA